AGCAUUCAAUAAGCGGAGGAAAAGAAACUAACAAGGAUUCCCCUAGUAACGGCGAGUGAAGCGGGAUGAGCUCAAAUUUAAAAUCUGGCAGUCUAAGAUUGUCCGAGUUGUAGUCUAGAGAAGCGUUUUCCGCGUAGGCCUGUGUACAAGUCCCUUGGAAUAGGGCGUCAUAGAGGGUGAGAAUCCCGUCCUUGACACAGAUCAUCUAUGCUCUGCGAUGCGCUCUCGAAGAGUCGAGUUGUUUGGGAAUGCAGCUCAAAAUGGGUGGUAAAUUCCAUCUAAAGCUAAAUAUUGGCGAGAGACCGAUAGCGAACAAGUACCGUGAGGGAAAGAUGAAAAGCACUUUGGAAAGAGAGUUAAACAGUACGUGAAAUUGUUGAAAGGGAAACGAUUGAAGUCAGUCAUGUGGUUUGAGGUUCAGCCGGUUCUGCCGGUGUAUUCCUCAGACUACAGGCCAGCAUCAGUUUCGACCGGUGGAAAAAGUUGGAGGGAACGUGGCAUCCUCGGAUGUGUUAUAGCCCUCUUUCACAUGCAUCGGACGGGACUGAGGAACGCAGCGUGCCUUUAUGGUCGGUCUUCGGACACGAACGCGCUUAGGAUGCUGGCAUAAUGGCUUUAAACGACCCGU
rnacentral:rRNA from 1 species